rnacentral:tRNA from 1 species
GGGGAUUUAGCUCAGUGGCAUAGCAUCUGUCUUGCAAGAGAAAGCUCCUGGGUUCAAUCCCCAGUACCACCA